rnacentral:rRNA from 1 species
AGAGUGAACGCUGGCGGCGUGCCUAAUACAUGCAAGUCGAACGAUGAAGCUUUUAGCUUGCUAGAAGUGGAUUAGUGGCGCACGGGUAAGUAAUGCAUAGGUUAUGUGCCCUUUAGUCUAGGAUAGCCACUGGAAACGGUGAUUAAUACUGGAUACUCCCUACGGGGGAAAGUUUUUCGCUAAAGGAUCAGCCUAUGUCCUAUCAGCUUGUUGGUGAGGUAAUGGCUCACCAAGGCUAUGACGGGUAUCCGGCCUGAGAGGGUGAACGGACACACUGGAACUGAGACACGGUCCAGACUCCUACGGGAGGCAGCAGUAGGGAAUAUUGCUCAAUGGGGGAAACCCUGAAGCAGCAACGCCGCGUGGAGGAUGAAGGUUUUAGGAUUGUAAACUCCUUUUGUGAGAGAAGAUUAUGACGGUAUCUCACGAAUAAGCACCGGCUAACUCCGUGCCAGCAGCCGCGGUAAUACGGAGGGUGCAAGCGUUACUCGGAAUCACUGGGCGUAAAGAGUGCGCAGGCGGGUAGUCAAGUCAGAUGUGAAAUCCUAUAGCUUAACUAUAGAACUGCAUUUGAAACUGAUUAUCUAGAGUGUGGGAGAGGUAGGUGGAAUUCUUGGUGUAGGGGUAAAAUCCGUAGAGAUCAAGAGGAAUACUCAUUGCGAAGGCGACCUACUGGAACAUUACUGAUGCUCAUGC